rnacentral:lncRNA from 10 species
UAACAUUCUUAAAUAUCUGCUAGCCGUAAUAAAGAAAUCAAUGUACUUUAUGUUCUUAGCUCCCACAACUUAGCCUAAUUAUUUGCCCUGGCAUGCUUAUACUGGUCCAAGCAAGCAUUAGGUCAUAGCCUGUUCCUCUUCCUUAUUUGAAGGUGUUUUUACCUUUCUCAGCAUUCCACAAGUUACUUCCUCCUUCCUUUGUUCUCCUCUGCCUUUGCCUCUUUUUAAAAGUUCUAAGUUGCUAGCCAAUCGGGACAAAUACAGAAUGUGAGGUCCUGUUCCAGCCAAUGGAAACCGGACACAGCAGUAGGGUGGACGUGUCAGGUUAUAAAUGACCCUGUCUCCUUUGUUCGGUGUACUCUCAUGGCACAACUGCUGGUGAGUGUACCCUUUCUGCAGAAAGUAUAAAAAUGGCCUUGCUGAGGAAAUUAAAUUUAUGUUCAAGUGCUAUUUCUUUAUGGCACCAGGAAACAAGCAUUUCAAACAGCUGGAAAUGGUCAGAUUGGUAUGCUUAAAAUUAAAACUUUGUGGAAUCUGCAGUUUGUAAAUAACAAGGCCUAGGCUUUUUCUCCCAGCUGCAGGGUUUUUCAGUCAUACUUUUUUCUUUUUUUUGAGAUGGAAUUUCGCUCUUGUUGCCCAGGCUGGAGUGCAAUGGCGCAAUCUCGACUCACCACAACCUCCGCCUCCUGGGUUCAAGCAGUUCUAUAACUUAAUAUGAGGUAUAUGAAUAGUCUAACAAAUCCAAAUUGUGAAUAUGUACUAUAGUAUUCAAAAGCAUUUAAGGAUAGCCCAGGCUAGAGUGCAGUGGCAUGAUCUCACUGCAACCUCCUCCCGGGUUCAAGCGAUUCUCGUGCCUCAGUCUCCCGAGUAGCUGGGACUACAGGUGUGCACCACCACGUCGCCUAAUAUGAGGCACUUUGUCUUUUCCAUAAAGUUUUUAUGCCAUAACAGACAGAGAAAGAGUUCCAUUUUUCAAUCAACAAGGCAAAAAAGAGGCCAAGUAAUUGGGAAUGUAAUAAAGGUGAGCCUAUUUUACAACAUCGAGUGGGAGCUAGGAAGCCCUCUGACAAAUCUUUAAGCUGAUGGAGCCUGAAUGACUAAUGACUAUUUUAGUUUUUCCUUUUAAAAAAUGAUGUGAAUAAAUACAGAUACCCCCCACAACACACACACACACAGUUUUAUAUAAAUUCAAAAAACAAUCAUACUAUUCAUUCUGGGGGUUGUUUGUAUACAAUUUUCUUUCCUUUUUUUACUCCCUACUUCAGUAACUCCCCUCAUAUACAAACAAGUAUACUUUUUUUGUUUUUUUUUUCAAUGUAAUCAUAUUCAUAUAUACAUACAUGCAGACACAUGCAUCAAUGUAUGGGCGUAGGCCUUUUCUAAUAGACUGAUACUACCCAUGCUUGCCUGCACAUUUUCUAUCUUGUGCAAAUCUCUCCAAGUCAAGUGGUAUAGUGUAGGUCCAUUUCAUUCUAUUAAAAGGUGGGCUAAUACUCCACGGUACGCAGGUAACAUCCUAUUCAGCCACCCCGCUAAUGACGGGCU